rnacentral:rRNA from 1 species
AUUGAACGCUGGCGGCAUGCUUUACACAUGCAAGUCGAACGGUAACAGGGUGCUUGCACCGCUGACGAGUGGCGAACGGGUGAGUAAUGCGUCGGAACGUGCCGAGUAGUGGGGGAUAACGCAGCGAAAGUUGCGCUAAUACCGCAUACGUACUGAGGUAGAAAGUGGGGGACCUUCGGGCCUCACGCUAUUCGAGCGGCCGACGUCUGAUUAGCUAGUAGGUGAGGUAAAGGCUCACCUAGGCGACGAUCAGUAGCGGGUCUGAGAGGAUGAGCCGCCACACUGGGACUGAGACACGGCCCAGACUCCUACGGGAGGCAGCAGUGGGGAAUUUUGGACAAUGGGCGAAAGCCUGAUCCAGCCAUGCCGCGUGUCUGAAGAAGGCCUUCGGGUUGUAAAGGACUUUUGUCGGGGAGGAAAUCCCCAGCGUUAAUACCGCUGGGGGAUGACAGUACCUGAAGAAUAAGCACCGGCUAACUACGUGCCAGCCGCCGCAGUAAAAC